GGGGAACCUCGCCCCAUAGUCUGGGAUACCACUUGGAAACAGGUGCUAAUACCGGAUAAGAAAGCGGAUCGCAUGAUCAGCUUUUAAAAGGCGGCGUAAGCUGUCGCUAUGGGAUGGCCCCGCGGUGCAUUAGCUAGUUGGUAAGGUAAAGGCUUACCAAGGCGAUGAUGCAUAGCCGAGUUGAGAGACUGAUCGGCCACAUUGGGACUGAGACACGGCCCAAACUCCUACGGGAGGCAGCAGUC
rnacentral:rRNA from 1 species